AGUACGAUUGACUUCCAAUCAGUUAGCUCCAGAUCAACCUGGAAAGAAGUA
rnacentral:tRNA from 1 species